rnacentral:rRNA from 1 species
AUGGCUCCUACCGAGGCUGAGGCUGAUGUAGAGGAGGGAGAAGAGAAGAAGAAGAGGGAAAGGAAAGUAGCCGGAGCUGCUUUCACGUGGAUUCAAAAUAACUUUGCGACGUGCCCUCCGGAUGCCUCUGAUGAUGUGAUCCAGACACAUGCUCGUGUGUAUAUGUGGUACGUUGUGUCGAGGACUUUGUUUCCUGACUCCACUGGCAAGAACGCUCCAUGGAUGUGGCUGAAGGCGUUGACCGUCUUCGAUAGCAAAUGGAGCUGGGGUUCAGCGACUCUUGCCUACUUGUACCGACAGGUAGUUGGUCUGUUUUGUGAUCAACUCAUUUCUUCAUUAGCAAUGCAAGCUUGCUGUCAAGUUAACAUUGUUUUUUUCUUUCAUAUGUAG